rnacentral:lncRNA from 1 species
AUGAAUAAUGGACUCCCAGGAGAAACCAUGAAAAUCAGUCUCCUCCACGGUAGGAUAAUGCCAAAACCAGGCAGGCAUGCAAACUGUGCAUACACAAGGAGAGAUCAGCCAGGGGCCUUUCAUGCUUCUGAGACCUUGACUACACCAGCACUGAGGAGAAAUUGCCAGACACAGCUUGGAAGUAGAGCAAUAACCCAUAAUUUGAUGAGUCUGAAAGGUCCUGAGCAUUGGCUCCAACUCAGUCACUGGGGAAUUUCCACCAGGUUGCUUUCUGGACACUCCAGGGACCAGUUUGGCUGGAAUUUCUGUUGUGUUUUGCACAGCACAUGGUAAUUCUGCUCUGCCAAGGAUGAACUUUCGGUCCUACUGAGCCCGUGUCGGUUAUAGGCAGGGAUGGAUCCACACGCUGGACGAGGGAAAGUUGAAACUCUAUGUUCUGGAUUUUCUCCUGUGAGCAGAUUUGUGCAUGACAUCUUGUGAUUAAAGGCCAAAUGGACAAUAUGGAGAAUUGGGUAAGUUGGCUUUUAGCAGAUGCAAAUCUCUCCUUGC